rnacentral:rRNA from 1 species
CAUUCUCUUCCCUGCUGAUAGAGCUUUACAUACCGAAAUACUUCUUCACUCACGCGGCGUUGCUGCAUCAGGGUUUCCCCCAUUGUGCAAUAUUCCCCACUGCUGCCUCCCGUAGGAGUUUGGGCCGUGUCUCAGUCCCAAUGUGGCCGGCCACCCUCUCAGGUCGGCUACUGAUCGUCGCCUUGGUGGGCCGUUACCUCACCAACCAGCUAAUCAGACGCGGGUCCAUCUCAUACCACCGGAGUUUUUCACACCGGGCCAUGCGGUCCUGUGCGCUUAUGCGGUAUUAGCAGUCAUUUCUAACUGUUAUCCCCCUGUAUGAGGCAGGUUACCCACGCGUUACUCACCCGUCCGCCGCUCAGUCAUACACGCUUCCAUCCGAAAACUUCCACAUCUAUGCUUCGCUCGACUUGCAUGUGUUAAGCACGCCGCCAGCGUUCAUCCUGAGCCAGGAUCAAACUCU